rnacentral:rRNA from 1 species
ACUAACUGGAGGACCGAACCGACUAAUGUUGAAAAAUUAGCGGAUGACUUGUGGCUGGGGGUGAAAGGCCAAUCAAACCGGGAGAUAGCUGGUUCUCCCCGAAAGCUAUUUAGGUAGCGCCUCGUGAACUCAUCUUCGGGGGUAGAGCACUGUUUCGGCUAGGGGGUCAUCCCGACUUACCAACCCGAUGCAAACUACGAAUACCGAAGAAUGUUAUCACGGGAGACACACGGCGGGUGCUAACGUCCGUCGUGAAG